AGAUAUAUGAGUUUCAAUUUCGUAGGUGUUGAGUCUGUUUGUCGGUGAUUCUUGUUAUAUCAAAAAUAAAUGUAACACUGACGUAUAGGGUGUCCCAGAAAGUAUGGGCACAACUUUGCAGCUCUGCCAUUUGGGAAUGAAUGCAUAAACAAACUUUAUUUUGUAACCGUUCGGUUCCAGUUUUACUUGAUGGCUCCACCCCAAGUCCUAAAUAAUUCCUACCUCCUCCUGAAUACGACCCUGAAACAUAAAAAAUGAAUUCAAUGAUGGAAUAACGGCACUCAUUCGUUCUUGACUGCGAGUGUGUGAGCUUGUUCCACUUCCACUUGUACCUAGUUUUGGCAGAAGUACGUUUAGAGUAGUUUGAGUAGGCAAAUAAAUCCCAGCCCUGUUACGCGAUACUGGUCCACAGAUGGAGCUAGGGAGAAAUGAAUAAUAGGGUGUGAAAAUCAAAGCAUAAAUGUCUAUCUAAAAAAAAAAAUAAUGAAAAAAGGCAUUCCUUAUAAAAGCAGAACCGUUCGAUGGAACAGCUUCUUUGUAAUAGUGAUCCUCAAACGGUUCGUACACGGUAAAAAAAACUGCACUGUGAUAUGAACGGAUUGACACUUGAAUUCGCACUACUGUUUAAUCAGUUUGUUAUCAAUUAAAUAUCAUUCGAAAAAGAACAUCCAAUGCUUCUUCAUUUUUAAUUGAACUUCACUUCAAUUCGUUGUUGACAAUGUUUUGAAUUCGAAUCCAGAAUUUUAAAAAAUAAAAGUGCUCACCGCACCCAGAUUCGAUACCAGGAUCUUGAGAUUCAAGAUCAUCUGUUUUACCACUACACUACUCCGCAACUCUUAAAGUGGCUCGAUUCGAAGCGAAACACAUUAUCACAGUCAUUAUCAAAUCAACAGCUUUUCACUUUGGAUCGUACUGCUUUAUACAUUAGUGCAAAUUGAAGUGAUUUUUAGUUUAUUUCUCUGGUGGGUUUGUUUUGGUUCUCAAAUCAACACUGACAGCAUUGCGAUUUCAAUCGAACAGCCUUUCUGAUCAUGCUGAUUGGGAUGUUGAAUAGUUAAGGGAUUUUUCCCUUACAUUGAGCGUGCAGAAUUUUUACCGUGUAGUGCGCGCGGUCACUAAAGUAGUUUGAGGUUAGUUUGUGUUGCCUCUUUUGUGUGUGAAAAUUGUUAUAAUUUAGUAUCGUUUUAUUCUUUUAAAUAGGUCCUAGUUCUUGUAUGUCAUAAAGAACUAUUAUGCUAGAAAAAUGUUAGUAAAAGUAUUAGUGGAACGAAAAUGUUAUGAUUAAAACAAUUGUUAGUGUGGUUAGUGCUAUUGCUUAUGUGUUAGUAGUUCCAAAAAUCUUAUAUAUGUUAAAAUUGUAGCUAUUUGUAAAGUAACAAAACAACCGAUUUAACGAAACAAAGGAAGACCCACGAAUACGACACUUAAACACGAAGAAAAAGGUAAAAGUUAAUAAGAAGCGGAAAAAGUGUAUAGUGAGGUUAGGUUUGUGCCGAUCACCGGGUACUAAUCCAAUGCGAAAAGGUCCACGCAUGGGACCUUUUUCUUUUGUACUCCUUUUCGAGUUUCUUGCCAGUGAAUCCCCGGUGGCGUGCCUCGUGUAAGCUGAAGUGUAGCAUAGGCUCCAAAGUCUACAUUCUCAAUGGCCGUCGUCUCCAUCACUUGUGGCCAUGUGGAGAGUUGUUUCCGCCAUUGCCACACGACGAUCAUUAUGCUCGCUUCCCAGACACUGUUUGGAAGCCACGGGUCCACCAGAAACCACCAGCCCUCCGGAAGCCACAACCUUGGAUAUUCCGAUAUCUCUCCGAUCGUCGGUAAGGUCACGCGAGCAGAUACCAGUAAAACACGUUCGCCAAGCCGGGGCCACCGCCAAACACCAAGCCCCUCCCCCCCCCCCCCCCCCCCCCGUCCUGCGGAGGGAUGUCAUACACGUUACCACACCCCGUGGCCAGGAGGAAGCUUCAGUACCUACGGGUACUGUCCUCACCAACGUCAAGGCCGCCAAUGCCCUGCUGUGAUCCGCUCGGUCGUGCUUGAAAGACCAUCGACUCCGCUCAAGAUCUGGAUCGGCUCAACGGAAAAUCCCAGUUAAGUAGCCUUGUGUGACGUCACAUGAAUAAACAUUAUUGUAAAUAGAAUAACCACAGAGAUAGUUGAUUUAGGAGGAAAAACUGCCCUGAAUAUAACCAUUUUCACCCUUUUUGCAUGCCCGUCCCCGGAUUCAGAAAGGAAUCAUCACACCUCGCCUUUGAGUGAUCACAUCGUCUGCUUUAUAGAUUACAGUGUUUUGAUUUCACCAUAUUUCUCCACCCCUUCAACAUCUUUGGAUAGUUACUUCCGGUUCCAUCAACUCCUAUUAAGAACAGAAACUGUGAUUCUAGUGUAUGUAUGUGGUUGAAAAGUCAAUAUACGACCCUAAGAUCCCCUUCCCCCGAGCUAGUGGGUUACAA